rnacentral:lncRNA from 1 species
AAGGUAUGAAAGAAUGGCUUUAAUUUCAAGUUUUUUCUUCUAGUGGCAGUUUUCUCUAUACACAGUGUACAAACACAUAAUUACAUUCUCAGACUUUCAGAAUCCUCUGACACUGGGUUGGAAGCAGAUUUUAGGCCGUGCCUCCUCCCCAUCCCAUUGUUUAGCUUUCCUGCAGUUUAUUCCGGGCGUGAACUCGGUGGUGCUUAGUAAGGGCUGAGCUCCGGCUGAAGUUUCUCCCACACUCCUUGCAGGCAUAGGGUUUCUCUCCAGUGUGAGUUCUCUGAUGAUCGUGCAGAUUUGUCUUCUUCCUAAAGGCCCGCCCACACUCAUUACAUUCAUAGGGCUUCUCUCCUGUGUGAGUCCUUUCGUGCUGAAUGAGGGAUGAGCUUUGACUGAAGGCUUUCCCGCAGUCAAUGCACUCAUAGGGUUUCUCGCCAGUGUGAGUCCUCUCGUGUUGCGUGAGUGACGAGAGUCGGCUGAAGGCUUCCCCACACUCAUUACAUUCAUAGGGCUUCUCUCCAGUGUGAAUUCUAUGAUGCUCUAUAAAACUUGUACUCCUUUUAAAAGCUUUUCCACAUACGUUGCACUGAUAGGGUUUCUCUCGGGGAUGAGACAGGGACGGCUGACCAAGGGCCUGUUCAGAGCCGUAGGAAUUCUCUCCAGCGUGGAGCCUCUGGUGCUCAGAGAAGUCUGUAAUGUGACUGAAGUCUUUCCCACAGUCAUUACAAUGGUACGACUUUACUUCAGGAAGCACGCCUUCACCUUGAGGAAGAGGAGUGCUAGGCACAAACGCCAGGCUGAAGUUGUUACUUUGGUAAGGUUUGCUUCUUUUAUGAAUCCUCAUAUGUUUAUAAAGGGAUGGGCUCUGACCAAAUGCCCUCCCACAAAUGCUGCACUCGAAAGGCUUCUCUCCUGUAUGGGUCCUCUCAUGCUGGACAAGGGAAGAACACCGGCUAAAGGCCUUCCCACAUUCCUUACACUGGAAGGGUUUCUCCCCACUGUGGGUCACCUCAUGCUGCGUAAGGGACGUGCUGUGCCUGAAUGACCUCCCACAGAGAUUACAGCGAUAGGGCUUCUCUCCAGUGUGGAUUCUCUGGUGUUGAACAAGAGAUGAGCUGCGCUGGAAGGCUUUCCCACAGAGACUACACUGAUAGGGCUUCUCUCCUGUAUGUGCGUUUUCAUGCUGACCAAGGGACGAGCUGUGCCUGAAGGCCUUUCCACACACAUUACACUCAAAGGGUUUUUCCCCAGUGUGAAUUCUCUGGUGCUCAGUGAGCUGUGUUCUCCAGAGGAAGGUUUUCCCACAGUCCGUACACACAUGGUGUUUUCUUCCAGACUGAACUCCUUGGUCUGUACCAUUAGAGUAAGCAUCGUCUUUAUGAAUCUUCUCAUGUUUAUUAAGUGAUGAUCUAUGAAUAAAUGAUUUCCUACAUUUAUCACAUUUAUAAGGCUUCUUUUUAGCAAGGAUAUUACUCUGAGUAACUAAUUCUGAAUUGUGUUCCAAAUUAUUUCCAAAUGUUUUACAGUCACUGGGCCUUAAACUUGAAGAAAUGUCCAAUUGUGGAACCAAGUGUGUGCUCAAACUAGAGUCUUCACCAACUUUUUUUUGCUCAAUUUUUUUCUCUAGAGUGGUUAUUUUCUUUUGGGAAGAUGCCUCUGGCCCCAGCUGUCUUCUCCCACUUUCCUGGUGCCCCUGGAUAGUGACAUUCCAGAUAUCACCUAUUGUGGUGUGUGACAAAACAUUUGUUCUGAGGAAUACUUCAGAUACGCCCUGCUGAGGACUCCGUGAGGACUCAGGCCUGGUCUUCCAGUCUAAAAGAAAUAUAAAGUGCAAAAGUUCCCACAUUUCUUGCAGCUCAAACAAAAUGCUAGAGUAGGGAUAAGAAAAUGAGAUAGAAAUCAUGCAUGGCUAUAUUUUUAAAUCAGUCCCUUAGAGAAAGAUGCCUGCAGAAAAGAAAGAGUGAGGUACCAGCGAAUAUUACAAAUCCUGAGUGCCUGUCACAUCCAGAGAGUGAGGAAAGCCCAUGUAAGUGGGCGAGUGUAAUAGGAAACAGAAGCACAGAGGAGCCUAAGUGUGCGAGUACUGAUUUUACAUAACAAAAACCUGCCUGGCUAAUAUAUCCAUUUUAUAAUUCCUUUAAAGCUGAUUUUAUAAUUCCUUUACAGUAACCUAUUACAAAGCAGGCUUCUAAAUGCUGCAGAAAAAAAAAUCUCUGGCUAAGGAUCUUCUGAAAAGAUUCUCUGACAUAUGCGGAGGCCACGCACCAUGCUAAAAACUGAGAAAAAGUCAUGAUUCGGAAAGCAAGUUAUUUUUGGUCUUACAACUAGGAGGAGUUUCAGUUUGUGUGAGCUCUGAUUCCAUAGCAAUCAUCUCUCUUCUGUGUACAUGUGUAUUUUAAUUUUUAAUGUGAUUUGUAAUUUUAAAAUAACAUUUAUUGCCUAACAAGCCUUUAAUCCCAACAUCUGGGACCUGAGAGCAGAGUACACACACACACACACACACACACACACACACACACACAUCCAAGCAUCAUAGCACAUGUGUAGAGGUCUGACAAAAGUUGAAGGAGUAAAUUCUCUCCUUCUACCAUGUGACACUCAGGGACCAACCGCAGGCCGUCAGAUUUGGCAACAAGCAUCUUACCUGCUGAGCCAUCUCACUGGCCUAUUUAGUAUCUGGAACAGGGCUCUCACUGAACCUGAGAGCUCACUGAUUCAGCCACACCGGCCAGCCAAUGAGUUCCAGGAAUCCAUCUGUCUCUCCCUUCCUGCGUCCUACCAGUGCCGGGGUUACAGAUCUCUAGUGUUCAUGGGUGUUGGGGAUCUAAACCAAGAUUCUCAUGUUUGAAAGCAGGCACUUUUCUAACCUAGCUGUCUUCCCAGUCCCCAAACCUCUUUCUUUUUAAAGUGCUCUUAAAAUACCUUUUUUAAAGUUUCAUUUUAUUUCAUGUGUGUUUUAUUUUAUGAGUGUUUUGUCUGCAGGCUUAUAUGUGCACCAUGUGUGCCUGGUACCCAUUGAGGUCAGAAGAGGACAUUGAACCCCCCUAUAGCUGGAAUUACAGAGUUGUGAGCCACCAUGUUGAUGCUGGGAAUUGAACCUGAGUCUUCUGCAAGAGCAAAUCUCUAAUUGCUGAGCCAUCUCCCUAGUCCCCCUUCCCCAUCACCUCACUUUACAAAGAAUUUAUUUCAGUCAAUAGAUAUAUCCCCUAGGUCUGUUUUUUAACCGUAGAAUAAUAAUACUAGAUAACAUUAAUAUUUAGGUUCUAAGAAUAGUAAUUUUUAGGACUUAAGAGUACAGCCUCAGUGUUGAAAGGCGCUUGUUGCUUUUGUAGAAUACCAGAUGUGACUCCCAGCAUCCACAUGGAAUCUCAUGACUAUCUGUGACUUUAGUCCCAGAAAAUCCAGUGCCCUCUUCCGAGCUCUGUGGGUACCGGGUAUGCACACAGUACACAUAUAUACAUGCAGGCAAGACAUUCUUACACACACACACACACACACAUGUAAAAUAAAUAGAUCUAAAAACAAAAAAGAAUGUUUACCUUAACAAACUAAGGGAAACACCAGGCACCCUUGCUUAUACCUAUUACCCUAGUACCUGGGAAACUGAGGCAGAAGAGAUCAUGAGUUUCAGGCCAAUCUGGAUACAUGUAGGGAGAUGCUCUCUCAAAAACAAAAGUGUGGGUCAGAAGGGCUAAUGCACUUGUCAAAGCCAACAGGAUUGAACAUUUUAGUGUAUGCAACAUUUACUUAAAAAAUAAACCCUAUAGGGCUGCCAAUAGAACAAGCUAGUUGAAAGCCUGUCUUAGCACUCCCAGGGUCCUGGCUUUGAUCACUGCUGCCAAAUAAACAGGGUGUGACGGGGCAUCCCACGUUCCCAAAACUCAGGUGGCAGAGGCAGAAGGAUCAGAAGUUCAAAUCAGGGAAGAAAAACCUAAGGCUGGGAAGGUGGCCCAGGGGUCAAGAUUACUUGCUAUCCAACAGAGAGUACAUGAGUUGGAUCUCAUCACUCACUCUCACAAUAAGCAGCGGGAGCCCCACACAAUGCCUGUAAUUUGAGCUCCAAGGGCUGCAAUGGCUUUUUCUUCUAUCCUUCACACACACACACCAAAUAAAACAGAUCUCAUAAACUCAAACAUCAACAAAAAUCAAGCAUGUCCCUCCAAAAACCAAAACCAACCAACCAACCAACCAAACAAACAAAAAUAACCAAAAACCCAAAAAAACCCAAAACUAUAAAAAUAAAUUGGGGGGCUAAAGAGGUGAGAGGUGGCUCAGCAGUUAAGAACACUGGCUGCUCUUCCGGAGGACCGAGGUUUGAUUCUCAGCACAGACUUGGAGGCUCCCAACUGUUAACUCCAAUCCCAGGGGAUCUGUGGUACACACUUAUGUGCAAACAAAACACCCAUAUGCAUGAGAACAAGGAGCAGAGCUUGAGAGGUGGCUCAGUGGUUAAGAGCAUGCACUGCUCUCGAGAAGGACCCAAGUUCAGUUCCCAGCACCCACACUAGGCAGCUAACAACUGACUGUGACACUAACUCCAGAGGAUCUAAUGCCCUCUCUGCCUUUGGUGGCUCCGGAACACAUGAACAUAUACUUCCUACUCUUGCUUAUAUAUACAUGCCCUGAGAUUUAAGGAAUAAUUCAUAGGUUAAUUAAAUAAAAAGCUGAACCCUGGACUCAGGAUAUAGUUUGUUGAUACAGAACUUUUUUUUUUAAGAACUUGGGAAAAGCCCAGGAUUUUAUUUUCAGUAUUUCAAAGGAAAACAAAACAAAACAAAGAACUCUAACUAACGAGACUCACACCUAUGCUUUCAACUUCCUUAAGAACACAUUAAAAAGGUGGUUCUUAUGUGGGUAGAUGAAGAGGCAUGCGGCAAAGCAAGUAUCAGAGUCAAAGUCUGUGAUCACCUAGGUGGCGGCUCUAUGACAACUACUGUACAACUUUCCGGUGUCUUCCAUAUAUUUGAGAUUCUUAUAAUAAAAUGUUGGGAGAGGAAGCAACACUUAAAGAAGUCCAAUACUCAACCUUCUAAGUUUGCAACAAGAAUCAGUCCUAAACUCAUAGUGUCAGCCAUACACAAUAGCACUCACUUGUAAUCUCAGCACUUGAGAGUGUGUGCGUGUGGGGGGAGGGGGGGGUAGUGUGAAGCCAGGCUGGGCCACACAGCCACACACUUUCUCACAACUAAAACAAGAAGCAAAGCUCCUAAGGGCAGAGACUGCUACAUUUUCUUUUCAGACUUCCUCUCAGUGGGGCUUUAAUAAAGAGUUAGUUUUGUUUCUGUUUCCAUUGGUAAAGGCCUCAAACAGACCUCUCCCCGAAGUGUGUACUGUACAGAUUUACUGUGGAGUGUACGUUUACCAAGCACAAUGCACUCAGGCUGGUCAGAAGCCUCAUCAUAAACUAAGCUCGCUCUGUGAGUUAAAAAUGAAAACACGGUCUCUGAAAACUUGGCUUCGUCAAAAUUCGAACAUGCUUCUUUUUCAAAGGUGAAGGCAGUGUUGACUCCUGGGGACUGUGUGCUUGGAACACGGUGUCGGGAGGCUCGGACCAAGGGUCACCUCACACCAGCCCCGCCCUGUGUUUUGUCUUCACUUUCUUUAGAGACCAGCCAGGUCUCACUAUUGUAGCCGAGGCUGGCCUCAAGCUCACAGAGAGCCACCUGCCUCUGCCUUUUGAAUGCUGGCAUUAAGGGGUUAACGUCUCUCUGAUGACAGUAUAAAGCUGGGUGCGGUAGUACAUGCCUGUAAUUCAGCACUUGUCUAUGUUUCCCCCAUAAGACUUAUUUCCAGCAGGAACACCUGACUGGAGAAGAGAGACAGCUCCAGGAAUGGCUUCGGCUUCCUUUUCAGGUCAGACAGCUCCCACACCUCUAGUUAGAAGAAGUCCUCUCCAUAAGCUGUAGCCCUGUCUACACUGAUUUCCAGGAGCAGAAUUCUGAACUCGUUACCUGCACAGAAAGGUCUUUGGGUUUCUUUCUCUGAUAUCCAUGGCUCUUCUCCUUGCUCCAAUUUGAAGAUCACCUCUGGCUUGGAGACUUGAUACCCUGCUCAUCAGUGAGGUUCUCCA